AGGCCGAAAGGCGUAGUCGAUGGGAAACAGGUUAAUAUUCCUGUACUUGGUGUUACUGCGAAGGGGGGACGGAGAAGGCUAUGUUAGCCGGGCGACGGUUGUCCCGGUUUAAGCAUGUAGGCUGAUUGUCCAGGCAAAUCCGGAUAAUCAAGGCUGAGGUGUGAUGACGAGGCACUACGGUGCUGAAGUAACAAAUGCCCUGCUUCCAGGAAAAGCCUCUAAGCAUCAGGUAACAU
rnacentral:rRNA from 1 species